UACGUAGGGUGCGAGCGUUGUCCGGAAUUAUUGGGCGUAAAGAGCUCGUAGGCGGCUUGUCGCGUCGGAUGUGAAAGCCCGGGGCUUAACCCCGGGUCUGCAUUCGAUACGGGCAGGCUAGAGUUCGGUAGGGGAGAUCGGAAUUCCUGGUGUAGCGGUGAAAUGCGCAGAUAUCAGGAGGAACACCGAUGGCGAAGGCAGGUCUCUGGGCCACUACUGACGCUGAGAAGCGAAAGCAUGGGGAGCGAACAGG
rnacentral:rRNA from 1 species